AUGUACUGGAUCCGCCAGAGACCCGGGCAGGGGCCGGAGUUCGUGGCAGAGAUCAGCUACGAUCUUUCCAGAAAACACUAUGAACCAUUGGGCAAGGGCCAGGAGUGCGGGGGGCACCUCCAGCCCCCUGGGGGGUCCCUGACGUUGCUCUGCAUCGGCUCUGGGUUCACUCUGGCCAAUCACGACGUGUUCUGGGUGCGCCAGAGACCCGGGCAGGGGCUGGAGUUUGUCGCCCACAUCACCUACAAUGGAGGCUACACCAUCUACAGUCCGUCGGUGCAGGGUCGGUUCAGGAUCUCCAGGGACAACGGGCAGAGCUCGGUGACGCUGACCAUGAACAACCUCAAGGACGAGGAUUCCGGAUCCUAUUUCUGUGCCAGACGUCAUAAAUAUUGGGGUGCUGAUUAUGUUUUUAUUGAUGAUGCUCUCAGCGAUCCGAUGCCCUUGAUGCCCUGGAGUUUCCCCAAUUUUGCCCAUUUCACUCAAAUCUCCCCCAGCUCCCUGAACUCUGAUUGGCUGAUCGAGCACAGUCAGAAAUGGGAACUCUUGGAGAGCAAGGCCUGA